AGUGAACGCUGGCGGUAGGCCUAACACAUGCAAGUCGAACGGCAGCACAGUAAGAGCUUGCUCUUACGGGUGGCGAGUGGCGGACGGGUGAGGAAUACAUCGGAAUCUACUUUUUCGUGGGGGAUAACGUAGGGAAACUUACGCUAAUACCGCAUACGACCCACGGGUGAAAGCAGGGGAUCUUCGCACCUUGCGCGGUUGAAUGAGCCGAUGUCGGAUUAGCUAGUUGGCGGGGUAAAGGCCCACCAAGGCGACGAUCCGUAGCUGGUCUGAGAGGAUGAUCAGCCACACUGGAACUGAGACACGGUCCAGACUCCUACGGGAGGCAGCAGUGGGGAAUAUUAGACAAUGGGCGCAAGCCUGAUCCAGCCAUACCGCGUGGGUGAAGAAGGCCUUCGGGUUGUAAAGCCCUUUUGUUGGGAAAGAAAAGCAGCAGGUUAAUACCCCGCUGUUCUGACGGUACCCAAAGAAUAAGCACCGGCUAACUUCGUG
rnacentral:rRNA from 1 species